rnacentral:rRNA from 1 species
GAGUAGUAAAAGUUUAGAUCUUGAAACUUAAAAGAUUUGGCGGUACUUUAUCUUAUCAGAGGAACCUGCUUAUUGAUUGAUGUUCCACAAUAAAUUUACUUUUAUUAUUUUACUUGUAUGCCGCCGUCAUGAGCGUGCCUCCAGGCCGAUUUUCUUUCAAAGUUAUGUUAGGUCAAGGUGCAGUUUUUAGAGAAUAAGUGGGUUACAUUAGAUAGGUGGAAAGAAAAAGGAUUUGAAAGUAAUUUAUUAGUAAUAAUGAAUUUAGGUUAUAAAGUAUG